rnacentral:rRNA from 1 species
GACGAACGCUGGCGGCGUGCUUAACACAUGCAAGUCGAACGGAAAGGCCCUGCUUGCAGGGUACUCGAGUGCGAACGGGUGAGUAACACGUGGGUGAUCUGCCCUGCACUUCGGGAUAAGCCUGGGAAACUGGGUCUAAUACCGGAUAGGAGCCAUUUUUAGUGUGAUGGUUGGAAAGUUUUUUUCGGUGUAGGAUGAGCUCGCGGCCUAUCAGCUUGUUGGUGGGGUAAUGGCCUACCAAGGCGGCGACGGGUAGCCGGCCUGAGAGGGUGGACGGCCACAUUGGGACUGAGAUACGGCCCAGACUCCUACGGGAGGCAGCAGUGGGGAAUAUUGCACAAGGGGCGCAAGCCUGAUGCAGCGACGCCGCGUGGGGGAUGACGGCCUUCGGGUUGGAAACUCCUUUCGCUAGGGACGAAGCUUUUUGUGACGGUACCUAGAUAAGAAGCACCGGCUAACUACGUG